rnacentral:lncRNA from 1 species
GGGGUGCUAGGUCAGAACAGGCCUGGCUGGCAUGGCCUGGGCAGCAGGCCCAGGUGGCAGGCUGGCAGGGCACUCAUGGCUCUGCCCCUGGCCCGGACCUUUGCUCCCAGUCCUAAUGGCACUGGCCUUGGUUACCAUGGCUGCAUUUAGUUUGGGAUAAACAGAGCUCUUCCUCCUCCCGUCCAGUUUACUGACACCCAACUGUCUCCCCAGGGAAUAGGCUGGAAUUUUAAGUGUCUGCUCACUCCCUAGGGGAGGCCCAAGGACGAUGAGUCACUGGAUUUUGGCCCCUUUCGGCCCCCUCACUGUUCUCUGGCUUUCUCUGAGGUUCCCUCCCGCCCCACCUCUGUCCAGCAGGAGUCGGGGAGGGGUGGAGGCUGGCGCUGGGACUCACCUGGGGUUAUUAGUGGCUGGGUGGAAGGGAGGAACCUUCCUGUCCUAUUUCCUGAGGCCAGCAGCAAUCCUCUGGAUCUUGGAAGAGAGUAACAAGUUUUUUUCUUCCUUUAUCUCCUGCAUCCUUGGGGUCCAGGGUGAGGGAGAGGAAAAGAUAGGAAUGCAGGGGAGAAGAGAUAGAGAUCAGAGUAGAAAAAAGGACUCAUCUGAUUAGAAUUGACUUUGAAAAACUUUUCAUUCAUUCAUUUAUUGAAUCAAAGAAGUUCUUGAACUUGGGUGCUGAGGGAAGAAGGAACACUGUUAAAGACAUGACCCUGCUUUUGAAGACGCUGCCUUCAUACUGGAGGGCCUUGGACUCAGAAUCUGGUGCCCUGCUUUGAAUCCUGAUCCACACUAGUUACUCCUCUGAGCCUUGUGUCUCCUUACCUGUACAUAAGGAUAAUACUACUGAACUCUUAAGGCCAUUGUGAGGGUCAAAUAUGAAAGAAUAUCUCAUUAACAGUCUCCAGGCUCAAUAUAUAUCAGGUUUACAGAAAGGGAGGGGAGUUCGGAC